ACCAACUUUCUGUAACCUCACGGGGCUCCGAGGGCUCUCCUGGGCUGAAAAACCGGGGCGAUUCUGUGUGGUCCCCCCAUAUGCGCUUAAAGUUUUUAAGGCCGUUGCAGUGCUGAUUUCAGCCACCAGAUGUGCGCAGUUGAGCCGCGUUGGCUCCCAGCCUGGAAGUGAGGUCAGAGGAUGGGGAUUGGGAGAAGAAGUCAUCUGGUUUCCUGCCUGGGCUCUGACGCAUCCCUGCAUCCUCCCUUGUCCCCCCCCGUGACCUCCUUUUGCAAACAAAGAGGGGAAGUGCUGCGCACGCAGCAUCCCCCGCACUGCUCCCCCCUCCUUUGUGCUGCCUCACUAGGGACAUCUCUUUCUUGGUUUUUUUUUUCCCCUGCCUCUGACAAGUCCAUAAUGAGGAGGGGGUUCCCCAUCUGCUGCUGGGGGCACGGGGAGGAAUCACCUGCCCUGGGUGCACAAAGGCAGCAUCGCAGCCUUUUGGUGCCGGUUGUUAUGCAGCAGGGGUUGGGAGCAGCAGCCCUUUGUGCCAUUAAAUAAAGCAGAUCCCCAGAGAGCAUUAUGCAAGCCCUUCUCUCCAUUACUUUGUUCUCCAUUGCAGGGCUCCCCGCUACACCCCAUUCCAACCACUGCUGCUCCUCUUUCCCAGCUCCCACCGUGCCCUCCCAUGCUGAUGGUUUAGGGCCCAGAUGCCGGAGCCCCCCAGCAUCUCCCUGCCCCAUGGCACUGUCCCACCAGGCUGGGUCCACCCUGCCAUGCUGAGUCACCCUGGGCGUGCUGAGAAUGCAUCAUUAUUUAAUAGCCCCAGAGCUGUGCUUUGCCAUUAUUCAGCCCCUCCUUGCACACAGGGUGAGGUGUUUUGGCACUUUGGAUGCCCGUUCCCAUGCAGAAAUGCUGCAGCACUGCCUGUGCUGUGCUCCUUCUGCCCUUCCAGGCCAGCUGUGACCUGCAGCAAUGUGCUGUGCCACUGCCGGACCCACUCACCCCUCACCACACUGGGGAUGCACCCAUAACAUCUGCUGUGGGGUGGGAUCUGGGCAUCCCAUCCAGGUGUCCCAUAGCUGAGCACGUUGCUGCAGCACAGACGUGGCUCAGAACUGCUGCCCCAGCCCAGCCCUGACCCCAGAGGGACUCUCCUUCCCCAAAAAUACCCUCAGAGGGUCUUGGAGUUUGUUAUGUGGCCACUGUGGCUUUGAAUUGUGUGAGUGCUGGGCUGUAUGUGUGCAGAUAUGGUGCCACAAUGUGCGCCGGUCACCCUGCUCUGGUUAUAUGAUUAUAUAAGUGCAUUAUCUGUCUCUUUCUGUUUUGUUGUAGGUUUUAAUUCCCUGUUUUCCUUCUUCUUCCUCCUCGUCCUCCUCACUGCUUGCUCCAGCUGCCCCAAAGCACGGAGAUCCUAAAUCUAUGCUUUCCUCUCCUAUAAUCAAUGCCCACUGUCCCCUUGUGAACUGAACCUGAAAAACCCCCUGGAAGGUUGACGUGGGAAUUUAAGCUCCAGAUCCAGCUAGAUCUGUCCCUAGGCUGAUUUACUCCUGGAGGAUCAGGGGAUGGCCUGCAAGGUGUCCUGGGCUCAUUGCCAUUUCCCUUUGGCUCCCAGCCCUUCAUGUGGGGCAGCACUGGGGGGCAGGUGAGCUCAGUGCUACCCUCAGCCCCUUCUGCUCGGUCUGCGUGUGUUCCCAUUAGGGGCGAAACACAGCACAGUCUGCACUGAGAUUUCUGCUGGGGGGUUUAAGAAGGCAGAAAAUACAUCAGUGAGGAAUAUAUAUACAUAUAUAUAUAUGUAUGUGUGUGUAUGCAUAUAUAUACACACGUAUAAAUGCAUAGGACAGCUGCUUUAGUUGAUGGGAACUAUGUGAAAAGUGCUGGGAUUUCCUAAGCCCUUCCCUAAGGGCUGUGCAUGUAAUACAGUGAAGAAAGAUUGUAUAUUUAAAGGGGGUCAAAAGGAGAGGCAGCCAGGAGAGCUUGGGAGAAAAACAGGCUGCUCCUGGAGUGUUUGGGGUGGGUGUUUGGGCUGUAGGGACGUUUCCAUGAGGUCUGGCUGGGGUCUGUUAGUGUUGGAGCAUCGACCCUCCAUGGUCUGUGAGGCGCCAGAGGGUGCUCGUGCACCGCAGUGCAGAGCUGUCCUCUUCCUCAGCCAUUUUAGACCAAAUGUUUUCCUCUCCUGCAGUCUCCAUUUUAUGUUUCCAGUGCAGAAAAUAGAACAGGGAUUACUGGGGGAGGAAGCGAAGGGGGGGAGAGGUGCCAAGGCAAAGCCCAGCGCUGGGGGAGGGCGGGUAUGGGACGGUGUGAGGGGCUCCCUUGGGAGGAUGCUGGAAGUGGGCUCUGCAGGGAUGCUCUGCUUUAUCCCCCUGCCAGCCCCGAGCCCUCCCCGUGCUGCUUCAGAGUGUGGCAUCACUUUUUGGCCCUCAUCUCUGCACCCAGCUGGGCGCAUCACCGCAGGCCCUAUGGGAUCUGCAGGGCUGCUCCUGCCUGCCUUCCCUCUUUCCUUGCUGAGGAUGCUGAGUUCUGUUCUCGUCCCGUUUCCUCCCUGCCCACGCGUGCUGGGUGGGAUGUUGUCCCAGGUUUGUUACCAGCACGUCACCUUUCCCAGCUGCACGGAAAGCCCCGCGAGAACCUCCAGCAUGCAAUAGCUGAGUGCUUGUUGGCAUGGCCUCUAUUUCUAGGAACUGCCCUUUAUCAUCACUGUGCAGCACAGGGGGGGCCAGGCAGGCAUUUCUCAAUCCGGGAUAUGAAGCAAACUCUGCAUUCAUUUCCAGAAGGGAAUAUCAUGGAGCAGACCCAAAGGGCAGCUCCUAACCCCUGGGCUACGUGUGCAGCAAUGGCAGCUGGUGUCGCAGUGUCCAGCUGACCCCACAGCAGGUAACACAGCCAGGUAACACCGCAGCUCCUUCCCGCAUCCAUCUGUCCACUCUUCACUGAUGUGUCCCACUCGCUCUCAGCCCUGGGCCCGGUUUAUCCUCAAGCCCUUUCAUCCCCCGUGAUUCCCCCUCUGUUGCUCCCCUCGCAGUGUGACUUUGCAGCUUAAUGGAGCUUUUUGUUCUGCUCGUACCCGACUGCUUUUCAUCUUUCUUUCCUUCCCACAGCCGUGCACAAAGAGGCUUCUCAGGAAGAUGAUAAACAUCCUAAGAACCGCUGUGGCUUCUGGAGACGCUCACAUCAGUGUCUUUUCCUUUAAACAUCCUGAGCUGAAGGGCCCUUUGCCUCUGAUGUCAUUCGUGCCCACACAGCCGAAAAUAGGUGCUGAGUUCUGGCAUGUAAAGCCAGCAGUGCGUGAAGUGGAGUUGCUAACAGCUCAGGAGCUGCCCGAGCUGCUGAGAGGCCCUUGGGAAGAGGUAUGUGCCAGUGUAUAUGAGGUCUGUGCGUGGAAGAGACAAAGGCUGGUCACAAAGCAGGGGGCUUCUGCUCAGCCUGGAACAGCAGAGGGGCGGGAUGGGGCUGAGCAGAGGGUGCUGGUAGUGUUGCGCUCAGGGCUGGGUGCUCCAGGGGUCUGCCAGGAGCAAUGCUUGGCCCUGCCCCUACUCCUGCAGGGGAAUAAGGGGUUAAAAAGGGUGGUGGCACAAUUCAAGCAUCCAUCCAUCCCUCUGUUUUCUUGGUGCUUGUGGGGCUGGGGGCCAUAGCACUGCCACACCAGGGUGGCAAGAGUCCCACCAGGCUGGUGGCAGGGAUGGGUCACCAUUGAACAGCCAAAUGUGGGUGGCUGCAUUCCACAGCUCCAGAAAGCUGCAGAAUGAGGGAGAGAUCAGGAUAUGUGAGCUGGAGCCUUGCCCAAGGGCUUUUGUUUUCUUGUCAUCGUUCCCUUUAAUAUAAAGCUGUUUCUUGUGGCUCUGCAGCUGUGG
ensembl:lncRNA